ACUUCUUUAGUAUAAUCAUUGUAUAAUUGACUUCCAAUCAAUAGGACCGUCUAGACGGAAGAAGUA
rnacentral:tRNA from 1 species